rnacentral:lncRNA from 1 species
GAUGCCUCUGACAGGGGCACUACUUGGAGCUGAUCUCACUCACCAAGUCCUGAGCAAGAAGAAAUUUCACCUCUUCUGAUCCAAAGAUCAAAGCCUGUGAGGCCCUCACUCCUCAAGGAAGAUGAAGGGAAAGAAGGCCCUGGAAUCGGGGCCCCUGAAAGCACUGCCAUGGCAGUGCUUGGCAAUGGCAUUGUCUGUCUGGGAGAGCUGGUGGUAGUCGUGAAGUCUGACAGAUGUGAGCUUUGGAUUGCCUUCAGAGGCAGCCCAUGUCCUUGAUCUCCAUAAGGAGAGGAAAGAGCUAUCACUAGAGAUAUUUGGUUUCCUGUUUAUCUGGGGACAGUUUGAUUUGCAUCUCAUUUACAUCCAUUUGUGCGCUGCAUCUUGAAGGUCCAAACUCUGGGUGUCUGAGAUGAAAUGAAAUUGUACAACCUGCUACCACUGGAU